CCUAUAAGACUGGGAUAACUUCGGGAAACCGGAGCUAAUACCGGAUAACAUUUAGAACCGCAUGGUUCUAAAGUGAAAGAUGGUUUUGCUAUCACUUAUAGAUGGACCCGCGCCGUAUUAGCUAGUUGGUAAGGUAACGGCUUACCAAGGCGACGAUACGUAGCCGACCUGAGAGGGUGAUCGGCCACACUGGAACUGAGACACGGUCCAGGCUCCUACGGGAGGCAGCAGUAGGGAAUCUUCCGCAAUGGGCGAAAGCCUGACGGAGCAACGCCGCGUGAGUGAUGAAGGGUUUCGGCUCGUAAAACUCUGUUAUUAGGGAAGAACAAAUGUGUAAGUAACUGUGCACAUCUUGACGGUACCUAAUCAGAAAGCCACGGCUAACUACGUGCCAGCAGCCGCGGUAAUACGUAGGUGGCAAGCGUUAUCCGGAAUUAUUGGGCGUAAAGCGCGCGUAGGCGGUUUCUUAAGUCUGAUGUGAAAGCCCACGGCUCAACCGUGGAGGGUCAUUGGAAACUGGGAAACUUGAGUACAGAAGAGGAAAGUGGAAUUCCAUGUGUAGCGGUGAAAUGCGCAGAGAUAUGGAGGAACACCAGUGGCGAAGGCGACUUUCUGGUCUGUAACUGACGCUGAUGUGCGAAAGCGUGGGGAUCAAACAGGAUUAGAUACCCUGGUAGUCCACGCCGUAAACGAUGAGUGCUAAGUGUUAGGGGGUUUCCGCCCCUUAGUGCUGCAGCUAACGCAUUAAGCACUCCGCCUGGGGAGUACGACCGCAAGGUUGAAACUCAA
rnacentral:rRNA from 1 species